rnacentral:rRNA from 1 species
UACGUGGGGUGCGAGCGUUAAUCGGAAUUACUGGGCGUAAAGCGUGCGCAGGCGGUUGUGUAAGACAGGUGUGAAAUCCCCGGGCUUAACCUGGGAAUUGCAUUUGUGACUGCACGGCUAGAGUUUGGCAGAGGGGGGUAGAAUUCCACGUGUAGCAGUGAAAUGCGUAGAUAUGUGGAGGAAUACCGAUGGCGAAGGCAGCCCCCUGGGUCAAGACUGACGCUCAUGCACGAAAGCGUGGGGAGCAAACAGG